GACAGAGGGUGCAAACGUUGUUCGGAAUUACUGGGCGUAAAGCGCGUGUAGGCGGCCCUGCAAGUCGGAUGUGAAAUCCCACGGCUCAACCAUGGAAGUGCAUUCGAAACUGCAGAGCUAGAGCCUGGAGAGGAAGGUGGAAUGCUUGGUGUAGAGGUGAAAUUCGUAGAUAUCAAGCGGAACACCGGUGGCGAAGGCGGCCUUCUGGACAGUGACUGACGCUGAGACGCGAAAGCGUGGGGAGCAAACAGG
rnacentral:rRNA from 1 species